AUCUUGCUCCUCUUUUAUCAGUAGCAAUGGAAGUUGAUGAAAUUUAAGUGUCGUGUUGUUCUAGAGAUGCAGGGAGGGAGGGACGUCCAUGGAUUGGACUGCAAGGAUUGGAUGCAAACCAAUGCACAUGAGGAGGAGAUAUGCAAGCCAGGCCAUGACCUAAAGAUGUCCUUGGAGAAGAUGGCCAUUGGAGUGUAGGGGAGGAACAACCUUGUCCUGCUCAAGGAGGAGGAGGAGGACCACCCAAGCUCGACGACGACACGGCAACAGCCUCGUCUCCCCCACCACCGCCCCUCGGCCUCCUCUAAUGUUGUUGCAGAUUCUUAGAAUGGAAAUGUUAUGUACAUCAAAAAUAUUCUCUAGUCUGAGUUUGCAAAUCCAUAGUUGUUGAAUCAUGUCUGUAUAAGCAUUUGUAAAUAGCUAGCCUUUUUGGCUAAUCUUUUUUU